ensembl:lncRNA
UUUCUCUUCAUCUGAAUGGACACAACACCCAUCCAAGGACUAUAGGACACCAUCAGGAGCCAUAACUAAUAAUCAAAACAAAGAAUAUAGACAGAUUUAAGGAGGACACCAGUGCUACGUUUUGAGGACCCCUUUUCAGAACAUGACGGAUAGCGCUAUUUGCAAACUCUUUGCACCUGCUAAGCUGCAGGGUGUUUGGCCAACCCACCUGCAGAAAGUAAGUAUAAUUUUUCAUGACAAAGACUCAUGAUUACCUAAUACAUAUCACACACAUACAAAUUCUACCCAGGCAGAACGUUACACCCUUCCAUGCAUCAAAGUGAGAGGAAAAGCAAAGCGGAUUCUAACUUGUUGCCACCAGAGGGGAGGCAUUUCCAUCUCCAUGGCAACUUGCCACGGCUGUAAGACUAUUUGAAGGUGGACUGCUGCGAGUAAGGGACAUUACAGGACUGGCGCCGGUCCGUCUGUGGUGCGAGACCCAUGAAUCUAUCAUGAGGAUUAUAGGAAAAUUGUCUGUACUGUGGCAAGGCUGGCACACAAAAUGAAUGAAAUGAGUUAGACUAAACGGUGAUUCAUCCAUGUUUCAUAAUCAAAAACCUCUUCUGGAGAAUGCUUGAAUUAAAGACGCCUACAGAAGAAUAUGUUAAUGUUUGUGACUCUAUGAGCAUUGGGUGAUAAGGUGACUGAUCAUGAAUGAGUGUCUGAACUCAAAGUAUUUGCCUGGAGAACAAUAUACUGCUCUUUCAAUGCUGUAUGAAAUUUUCAAACACUUCAUAAGAAGUCUACAAAUGUUUAUAGAAUGAUUUUUUUCUGUAUAAGUAAUGCUUUAGAAACAGGCUUUUCCUACCAUAAUUAGAGCAAUUUUUUAUUUAGCUCAUUGAAUAUAGUUUUUAUACAGGAACAGUGUCACAAGAAUAUUGUUUGGUUUUAUAUAGAAAUAAAUGUUUUAUUAUUGUUGUUAUUAAAUGUUAACUGACCCCAUACUGUAUAUAAGGCAUGUUGACACAAAACAUCCACAUGUGUGCACUGAUUUUUUUUUUUUCUCAUUAAGGGAGGACCAGGGAUCUUUUAGUUCAUAUUUCUCAGUAUAGUUUUUUUUUCUUUUCAGUUUGUGAAUAGAUGCAUGUUAUCACACAACAUGGGGUAAGUUGUGACAGUGGAGUCUGCCAUUAAACAGUCUAAAAUUUCAGCUAAACAAAGAGAAAACAUAAUUCAGUUCAUCAAAACAACUCAUUAAACAGCAGACGUGAACAAGGUCAUGUACAAAAUAAAAAUGUUUUUGUUAAUGUCACAUUAUGAAACUCAUGACAAUUUGCCCCAAUAAAAGCUGUGCUGAUAAGAAACUGAUUAAAAUCCCUUUUCCAUGAGAACACAGUUCAAACUUUCAAGGUAAGACUUUACAGUAACGUUCCAUUUGUUAAAAUUAACUACAUUAGUUAACUAUAAUGAAAAGCAUAAUAUCUUAUUAUGUUAAUUCCAAACUUUACUCAUGUAUUAUUAAAAUUUAAACUUGUAUCUUAACAAAACUAAAA